rnacentral:tRNA from 1 species
GUGUAGCUCAGUGGUAGAGCGUGUGCUUAGCAUGCAUGAGGUCCUGGGUUCAAUCCUCAGUAC